UACGUAGGGGGCAAGCGUUGUCCGGAAUCAUUGGGCGUAAAGAGCGCGUAGGCGGUCCGGUAAGUCCGCUCUGAAAGUCCGGGGCUCAACCCCGGGAGGCGGGCGGAUACUGUCGGGCUAGAGUCCGGAAGAGGAGAGUGGAAUUCCUGGUGUAGCGGUGAAAUGCGCAGAUAUCAGGAGGAACACCGGUGGCGAAGGCGGAUCUCUGGGCCAUAACUGACGCUGAGGAGCGAAAGCAUGGGGAGCGAACAGG
rnacentral:rRNA from 1 species